ACGCUCGACACCUACGGGAGGCAGCAGUGGGGAAUAUUGGGCAAUGGGCGCAAGCCUGACCCAGCAACGCCGCGUGAAGGAUGAAGGCUUUCGGGUUGUAAACUUCUUUUAUCAGGGACGAAACAAAUGACGGUACCUGAUGAAUAAGCCACGGCUAACUACGUGUCAGCAGCCGCGGUAAUCUGAGCGGGCUGGCAAGGC
rnacentral:rRNA from 1 species